AGGAAGACACCCAUUUAUCUGGUACGGCCUUCCGAUGAUCUCACAGUGUGGGGCAUGGUGGGGCUCGGUCACAGGAUUCAAGGAAGCAAGGACAUCGCGAAGGUGAAGGACGAUGGAGUGGGAGAUCAACGAGAGCCGAAAUGCACUUUCCAGAACGGGACCCGUUGACGCCUACAAACCAAAGAAGACGUCUCUCGAGGAAGAGCUCAGGGUUUUGUAGCAGAAGGUGGACAUUAACAAGUACAAUUACAAGCCGAUUCCUCGCUCAAUUGAAAGCAAUAAAUAAAUGACUGAUUACCAUGUGGUUUUGUUUUGUUUAUGUGAUUGGCGGGAAUUAGUUCAAGUUUUUUGCCCAAUCAAUAAGCAAUUAACAAUUUAACAUGAUGUUUGAUGUUUCAUUCUCUCAACUACACCUUCCAGGAUGGAUUCUGCACAACCUUCUUAGAUCUAGCUUUUGGUUAGGGUGCUUUCUUCAGUUUGGGGCGAUGUAUUCCUUCAUGGCGGCUGUUGCGGUGGUGGCAGCGACGUGGCUACCGUUGUGCUGAUGGAGAUUAGGGUUUUGAUGUUGUGUUUUCUUACUUUGUCUACAAGCCUAAGUGUAUGUGAGCCUCCCAUUAUGUAUUGGGUUGUUGCUCUCUCUUUGCUUGGGCCUGUUUUUAUUUUAAGUCUUGCUUUUCUUAUGUAGGAUUUUAUGUUUUUAUAUUUUGGUUGGGUUUAGGCCUAUCUUGCACAAAUUGUAUUCUCCCUUCCAUGAAUGAAGCAAUGGAAUUUUACGGGAUAAUUUUCA